ensembl:snRNA U6 U6 spliceosomal RNA
GUACUCGCUUUGGCAGCACAUAUAUUAAAAUUGGAAAGAUACAGAGUAGAUCAGCAUGGCCCCUGCACAAGGGUGACAUGCAAAUUCAUGAAGCAUUCCAUAUUUUU